GAACUUAUGGAUCGGGAAUCCGACAUAUGGAUCUUCCUGAAUUGGAUUGGAAACAUUUAUGAAAUGUGCUUUGACGUGCAUAUUUGGCUUGUGGUUGAUUGGCAUGUUGUGACGAAAUGUGAGGGUUAGUAGUGGACCGAUAACCCAUUGUCAUGGGGUUUGUUGUUUCAGAUCUUCUUUCAUACCUAGUUUCAUUGUUUCAUUUCUCGUUUCGUUGAGCUUUUGUGAUUUGAAUACUUGUUUCUUGUUUUGUUCUUCAAGCAUUGUUAUAUUUCUUGAACUUCCACUCGGUUCUGUUGAGUGAUCUGGAACUGGGUUUCCGCUGGGGUUCCGUUGAGUGGUUUGGUUCCCUGCUCCGUUUGGAUUCUAUUGAGUGGUCCAGAAUCCCUCAUGAUCUGCGAUUCUGUUAAGUGGUCCAUAAUUGUAUUCAGCUUGGAUUUCAUUGAGUGGUCCGAAAUCGUAUCCACUCGAAUUCUGUUGAGAGGUCCAAAAUCCCUUAUACUCUGCGAUUCCGUUGAGUGGCCCGAAAUCGUAUUCUGGUUUGGAUUCUGUUGAGUGGUUUGAAAUCUCGCUUGGUGUCUUGGUUCCGUUGAGUGGUCUGGAACCCGAUGUUGAUGGAUUUCGUUGAGUGGUUCGAAAACGCAUCAUUUGACUCGUUGGUUCCUUGAAUUUGAUUUAUUUGAGACAGUUUUUGUGAGAACCUGUAUUUUAAUAUAAUAAAGAGUGCUAUUAGAUCCACCAAAUGUCCUACUUUCCCAACCACCUAAUAAUCCUAGCUACCAUAAAAAGUUAAAAAAGUAAAAUAUUAUUUUCCCACCCACUAUUAUUCCCAAAAUAACCCUAAUAUAUUUUGUUUUAAAUAAACGGAAAAAUGAAAGACCUGGACAUUCAUCAUCUCCUUCAAAUCAUGCAUGUCCUUAAAAUCAUGGCAUCCCUUUCAUAAUAUCUCUUCCUACUAUCCCCAAGUUUUCCACCUCAAUCUCUUUCCAAGAUCCCCACCCACUAUUUUCAUUGAAUUCCAUAUCUAUGUCCCAUUAUUCCCUACCCCCUUCCCUCGGGGCAAACCCCAUUACUCACAUCUAUCGCCGCUUCGCAGAGACCUUGGAUCCCAAACCACUCUUCUUCCUCCUUUUUUGUCAAACCCACAAAUCACACCGCUAGGUCUCUUUCUCCUCCAUUGAGGUUUCUCGCCUCCGUCUAGCACACACCCAUUCCUUCCUCCUUUUCUGCAAAGCCACAAAUUAACAUAUUAACAAAUUGACAAAUUAACAAAUUAAACCUAACAUGCACAAAGUUAACGAAAUAAAUUAAAUUCCUAAUCCUUAAAUUACAAAAUUAAUACAAUAAUUAAACCCUAAUUUAAAAAAUAAAUAAUUAAUCUAAAUGAAAUUGCAAAAAGAUAACAUAUUAGGCUGCCCAUUGUGUGGCUUUUCCAAACUUCCCCUCCCCUUAAUGUAAAAUAUUGAUGUACUAAAAAAACUGCAAAACAAAAAGGAAAAAAUAUGCAGAACCCUAAAUGCAUAUAUUCCCCACCCCGAAGCAACCCCUAUCCCGAGCCCAAUCCACACCCUGCACCAUCAAUCCUAACACCCUGUCUCCGCCACUACACCACCCACCCCCAUGCCCACCCAUCCCCAAUAACUCAAACCGCGCCACCCCGAACCCAUGCCUCAUCACUAAUCCCUAAAUCCAUCCAUAAUUCCCCAAUCCCGGGGUGUAUUCAAUUGAGAAUUUGAGAGAUUUUAAUGGAUUUAUAAAUCCAUAGAUUUUUAUGGAGUCUAAUUGAUUUGUAUAGAUUCCAUGUAAAAUUUUGAUUCAAUUCCCUCAAAAUCUCUCGGGGAGAGGUGAGAUUUGUGGAUGCUUAAAAUACACUAUAAAAUCUCUUAAAUUCCCUCUAAUUUCUCAACUUCUUCAAAUUCUUUAAAAUCAAAUUCUAAUUGAAUACAUGAGGAAUGUUAUAAACUUCUUUAAAAUUCUAAUUAAAUACACAUUGAAUUUCAGAGAAUCACUUAAUUCUUGAUUGUAUAUUCUUAGAUUCAUUAAAAGAAUUAAAAUUUCUCAAAAGCCCAAUUGAAUACACACCUUAAAUCCGUAAUCCCUAAAUCCAUCCAUAAUUCCCCAAUCCCUUAAAUCCCUAAUCCUCAAUCCCUUAAAACCCUAAUAUGCAAUUAGAAAAGAAAAAAAAAAUUUAGGUAUUGAACUUACCUUUAAUGGAGAGAGAUUUUUGGGGAGAUGGGCACGAUGAUGGCAGCUGAGGAGGUGAGAGAGCUGAGAUGGGGACCGCGGCUGAGGAGGUGAUUUCUAGAUAAGGAGAGAUAGAGGUGAGGUUAGAGAGGUGAGGUUAGAGAGUUUGAUGGGGAGAGAGAAUGGUCUGGGUUCGAGAGAGAGAAUGGGGUGUGUUUGAGAGAGAACGAGAGGAAGAAGCAGGGCCGUCCCUGAGAAUUUGGGGGCCUUAGGCGAGCUUUCAAAGUGCGGCCCUAAAAUUCUCUGAUCUCUGGUUCUUUGUAUAUUGAUUUGUAUAAAAAAGAAUUCGCUAAGUACAUAAAAAGUUCUAUUUUCACAUCAAAUAUCAUUAAAAAUAAAUAUCAAAAGAAGAUAAAUAUACAAACAUUAUUUAAACAUUACAUGAUUCACGUUUUUAGAUACAAAUGUACUAAAUGUUUGCAGUCAAGUGUCUAAGAUUGAGAAUGAAGAACAAUAAAACUUGAUGAUCAAGAGAGUAAGGAACAAUAAAACUUGAUUGAUGAGUAUAAUAAAUUCAACGCCAAUUGUUUCUCUUGUGUUUUUUUCUUUUCUAAAAUCAACAUCACACUAACGAAUUGAAUAUUAAAAUAAUCCAUUGAAUAAAAAGUUAUUGAAAAGAAAAAUAUAAAUUCAAAGUUUUGAUUACCUUAAAGUACAAUCUUUAAGACCAUAUGAUAGUUGGUUUAAACAUUCAAUAGAAAUGGAGAGAAUGAGAAGUUGGUUUAAACAUUCGAUAGAAAUGGAGAGAAUGAGAAGUUGAAAGAAAAAGAUUGCAAAGAUACUGAGUUUUAUAACUUUAUAUGAAUUUGGAUAAAUGGAUUGUGAGUUGGACAGAUGGAUUGGCAGUAAAUUUGAAAAACAAGAAAAAUAAAAAAAAAUCUAGUGACUAAAAGGCAGCUUCGUGUUUCAAACUCAACACCCCAAAUAAAAAUGAAGCCAACAUUUUCACUGCACUAACAAAUGAAUUAUGAUAUUUUUUACUUUUUUUUGUAUUUAUAUGUUAAUUACAGGAUAUAAAUUUUUUUUGGGGGUCAUUCUGAAGUGGGGGCCCUAGGCGGGCGCCUACUUGUGCUACCUUCAAGGCCGGCCCUGGGAAGAAGACUGCGAGGAAGAGACCUGGUAAGAAUUAAUACGAUACACUUUGCACCGCGAAGACCUUUGUUGUGCAACUUCUCAUUUCUCACGCAAUCUUUCUUGAAAUUUUCAAAACCCGCCCAAGUAUUGCCUCAUCCAGCAAAGUAAUGCCUUAUUUGGCAAGUGAAUCAUUCGCCCUCGGAUCCUAGAGGAGGGGCGGAAUCGGCUAUCAGAUCAAAAAUUAAAACAAGAAUUGAGAUAUAAGUCGUUUGGGAAAGAAGAGAAAGGGAGAGUUAAUUUGUGCUUUUAAAGACCUGUGGGACCUUUACACGACGAAGCAUUCAUCGUGCAAAGUUCACAAUAAUUACUACUCGUUUAAACCCUGAUUGUUAGUUCCAAACAAACUUUGCUUUCGUCGCGCAAAACAUGCAAUAAAUACUUCCCCUUAAAUGACCCACCGACCAUUUCAAAAAACACUUGGGGCGAUGAAACUGUUGUCGCUCAAAGUUUAAGGAGAUUGAAACCACAUUUCGUCACACAAAGUUACCUACAAAAAAUUAUAUUGGGAUAGUGAAAUAGAUAAGUGAAUGUAUUAGUAGUUCAGACAGUUUUUCAAAGUACUAUAUUGACAAAUUCAUUAACCUUUGCAGUUAACUACCUUUUUCAAGUUGCACACAUUUGCCUCCUAAUGCUUAAAGCUAGUUAACUAUAAUGUUUAAUGACCUCGUCAAUACCAAUAAUUUGACAAACUGUUUUAUCUACAACAUUUACUUAUCUAUUUCACUAUCCUAAUAUACAUUUUUUCCAGAUAGUGGUGACUUUGAGUUUUUUGGUUUUCUAGUCUACCGGAAAAAAACUGA
rnacentral:lncRNA from 1 species